CCUGGCUUUCGGCUGCCAAGCCCGUGCCCGUCCACACUACCCUAGUGGCUCAGAGCUCACACUGUUCCGACGAAUGAAGCUUCCACCUGCCCACAGCUCGCCACAUUUCACCUGGACUUGUGCAGUCACCACCUGCUCCACAAAAUUAUUAUACUCUGAUGGCUUUAUUACGUCCCCCAGAUGUGCAUUCCAACAGGGGCUUCUGUGGAGACAGACUUUAAUAUGAAGGAGUUAAACUGAUGUCGAGCACUCCCGCAGCACCACGAGGAGGUGAAAUCCUCGGCCAACACCCUACAGAUCGCUAUCUAGCUCACUCGAAAAGCCCAGCAGCUGGCGGCGAGAGGAGUCCGAAUUAGUCACUGGGGAACAGGCAAACUGUGAAAAGACUGCCAAGAGAUUAGAAACCACCACUGAAAGCUGAUUCCACCCUAGGUGAUAACAGAGAAAUCUGGAGCAACAAGUACAUCUCAGUGUCCGCCUUGGGAAAAGGCUACACAGCUCUGAAGAUGUUCUUCACCACGGAGAGCUAGACGCGGUCCUCACACGAAAGGCUGCAAACUGAAAAUGAGCAGGCAGCUGGUGCACACCACGAACACAGCUUCUCGGUCUCAGUCCGGUGACAAUGGAUUAGCAGCCCUUGAACAGGCCAUGCUACGAACAAGAGGUGUGGGGCAACCAAUGACCCAGCUGUGUGUAAAGCAACACCCUGAAGUCCAAAGUUUUAUCUUCCAGAAUUUGCCAGGUGUGGUAGUAUACACCUAUAAUCCCAGCACUCAGGAGGCUGAGGCAGGAGGUUUGCUACAAGUGGGAGACCAGCCUGGGCUAUGCAGUGAGUUCAAGGACACCCUGAACUACAUAGUGAAGUCCUGUCUCAAAACAAAACCUCAAAAUCUGCAUUGCUACCUUAGGGACAAGUGA
rnacentral:lncRNA from 1 species